AUAUAUAGGAUUAUAUGAAGGGUGCUCUGGUUAGUUGAAAUCUUGCAACAAUUUAUCCAAGUAGGUUUUUUUAAGAUGAGGAUCAUCAAGUCUUUUGAUAGCCUUAAGAAUGAGUUCUUGGUCCUGGGUUA